rnacentral:lncRNA from 1 species
GAUCGGGAGGGUUCCUACUCAAGAUGCAUUUGCAUGUACUUGACUUUUAAAGAAAAAAGGAACUGAGAGAGUCCCUAGACUCGUGAGAAGGGACCACAGUGGGCACUGUGGGUCCUGGCUGUGUCCUACUCCUCAUGCCCCCUGCAGCCAUGCACGGCCUAUACCGCAACACCCAGCGCCCAGGCCUAUCAGGGAGCACCAAGGAGGAAGAGGAAGAGGAAGAUGGAGAUGACUACGAGAACACAGCGCCACCCUACAAGGACCUUCCUCCCAAGCCAGGUUAGAGGGCUUUCUGGGCGUCACACACGGAGGGAGUAGGAAGGCGAGGGC